ACCAACAAAUAUAAUCCAUCAGAAACAUCGGCUAGAAAAUAUAAGCUUGAGUGGGAUUGAGAACAUGGCGACUCCUCCUGCACGUCAUUCCAGCAAGGCAGAGGAGCUACGAAAGGCUACUACCUUCCACCCAAGCCUGUGGGGUGAUUUCUUCCUGACAUACCAGCCACCAACGGCACCUCAGGAUUGCAGGUGGUGGGGCUGCUAUACUAAUCCUAGCACCUGCUUGAUGACGACGACGUCUUUGGUUGCCAUUUCCCGUCUGGCCGUCUUGGAGGCACCAUCACUCCGUCCCCAUUUCAACCCAUCUUUUUGUGAAAACUUCACCCCCAGUCUGGCAAGUGGUAGUGGCAACUAUUGUUGUGUCCUUAAUUAGUGGAGGAGUCGCGUUCCAGGAAUUUUACGUGGUGGUUCACUUUGUGUACUAUGCUUCCCAAUUUAAUGUCUUCAGUGGCUAUGGGUAUCGUCUUACAUAUUCAUGUUGCCUAUAAAAAUGGAUGAGAAUGUUGAUGGCAACGAUCUUGGCUUGGUGGUCAAAACUUCAAGCAAUAGAUGAAGUUGUUUUCUCCUCA